UCCGAGGCUCAAGUCAUACCCAGGUACUGGCUGUGGCCUUCUUGGGCCAGAGACCUUGAAGGAUAACUGUGGACCUUAUUGACUGUCUGUGAACUUUCUGACAGUCAGUCACCAGGUCAGUGGCAUGC
ensembl:snoRNA